rnacentral:rRNA from 1 species
GUGUCAGCCGCCGCGGUAAUACGUAGGAGGCAAACGUUGUCCGGAUUUACUGGGUGUAAAGGGUGCUCAGGCGGUUUUGUUAGUCAGGGGUGAAAUCCCGGAGCUUAACUCCGGAACUGCCUUUGAUACUGCAAGGCUUGAGUGCAGAAGAGGCGGAUGGAAUUUCUGGUGUAGCAGUGAAAUGCGUAGAUAUCAGAAAGAACACCAGUGGCGAAGGCGGUCCGCUGGUCUGUCACUGACGCUAAAGCACGAAAGCGUGGGGAGCAAACAGGAUUAGAAACCCGUGUAGUCC